GCGCUUGUUUUGGCAGCACAUAUACUAAAAUUGGAACAAUAUAGAGAAGAUUAUCACAAUCCCUGCACAAGGAUGACAUGCAAAUUUGUGAAGCAUUCUGUAUUUCU
rnacentral:snRNA from 1 species